UGGCGGACGGGUGAGUAACGCGUGGGUAACCUGCCUCAUACAGGGGGAUAACGGUUAGAAAUGACUGCUAAUACCGCAUAAGCGCACAGUACCACAUGGUACGGUGUGAAAAACUCCGGUGGUGUGAGAUGGAUUCGCGUCUGAUUAGCCAGUUGGCGGGGUAACGGCCCACCAAAGCGACGAUCAGUAGCCGACCUGAGAGGGUGACCGGCCACAUUGGGACUGAGACACGGCCCAA
rnacentral:rRNA from 1 species